UGAUACUGAUUAAUUAUGCGAUCGAAACCAUAUAUAAUGGCUACAAAAAUGCCGCUAAUAUAAUAUUCCUUCUUUCUUGUAUCUGUCUGCCUCUCAGGUCGUUUUACUAAUUACAAUAAGUAAUUUCGACUUCUUUGCGCUCUCUUUUAACGCAUUGAAACUUGAUCCAGUUUCGAGAAAAUGAAAAAUUCGUUUCUUCUCUUUGCUUCCCUGUACCUUCUUUCCUCCUUUUUCCCUUUUUACAUCCCUUUGUUUUACAUCGCAAUUUACAUUUAUUUGUAAAGUUUGAAUCUCCUCGAUAUUGAAGAUGUUGAAGCUGCAAGUAUGUAUUUCAUUUUAAUCCAUUCGAGACCGAGAUUUAAUUGUAAGUCGAUACCUAGGUGUCGGUACGAUCUGAAUGUUUAGUUAGAAUCAUUCUGUGUUUUACUCUCUCCAGGGUAUCCUUUUCAUACUUUGAUUUUAAAUCGAUGACAAUCUUAAAUAGUAUGCCUCAUAUUUUUAAAAUAUAAAAUUAUAUACUAUGUUAUUCUGUAAUGUAUUAUGUACAGUUAUAUAUAUAUAUAUAUAUAUAUAUAUAUAUAUAUAUAUAUAUAUAUAUAUAUAUAUAUAUGUCGGAGAUGAAAGAACACUGGAGCCUUUGGAAUUUUGGAUAAUCCCGCAACAUUGUAACCUAGAGUCUACUAUAGCUGUAAUUGAACAAUUGUAGUUAUUCAAUCCGAUUGUAAUUGUUCGAGAGUUGUGAUAAUGAGCUUGGGCUCGAGGCGACAGUCAGUCGCCGAACGUAGCCGCGGUCACGGGAUGAACGCUUUGCCUAACAAAGGUAUGGAGUAAUUCUAUAGCUCUCCUCAAAAGAAAUAUUCGUGGCGACACGCGACAGUAAACAUUCCAACGGUUUCUGUCCCGUGGCUCGCCACACGCAGACCCUAUUCUUCGAGUAAGAUGAUUGCCAGAUGUCGAUGCGUCUCCGCAGUACAUGUUCGGCUAGCCCGAGGGCCCGUUAUAAAUCUUAAGGUUUAGUUAACUAAAGUCCUUCAAACAGACAAACAGUCUUUGUCCCAACUACGGGAAGAUAGGGGAGACAUAUUUUUCAACGAGCGGCGUCUCCCACUAGCAACUUUCCCUCGAGGGCGGCUAGCAUCUUUUUCUAACCAUCGAUAUAGAGAUUGACCAAUUAGCAGCAACGCCAAUUUCCCUUACUUUCUGAACGAAGGCUUUUCUCGACGAAUCCGAUGAUCUCGUGUCCUUAGACACACCCCAUUAUAGUUUUCCUCUGUGGCAUGAUCGGGACGGGAAAGACAUUCUCUCGCUCGCGAUCUCAUUGAUGAAAGGAGUAACUCUUUACGAUCAGUGAAUAUUACGCGUCCGACUUAGAUUUUGUGAGUACGUUCAUCUAUCAUCCCGUCGACCGCGGAUUCGUUAUUGAACCUAGGAUCAUUGUCAUUAGUUUCUCGAGUACCUAACUACCGCGGUUACUUGUCCGGUUCUAUAAUAAUCGUAUUUGCAUUAGUCAAUGUCUUCUCUAUUGCAUAACGACAACGUGUAACCCAAACGAAGAUUCGUUUCACGCCCCUAACCCUAAUUCUAAUGUAAACCCGACAUAUAUAUAUAUAUAUAUAUAUAUAUAAUAAUUCUAUAUUGAAAAAAAUAUGAAAUUAACAUGAUAUAUACAUUACUACAUAAGUUAUAUAUAAAAUAUGUAUACUAUACCCUUGCCUACUGACUGAUAUGAAUUUCUUUCGGUCUCGAAUGCGUUAAAAGAGAGCGCAAAGAAGUCGAAAUUACUUAUUGUAAUUAGUAAAACGACCUGAGAGGCAGACAGAUACAAGAAAGAAGGAAUAUUAUAUUAGCGGCAUUUUUGUAGCCAUUAUAUAGGGUUUCGAUCGCAUAAUUAAUCAGUAUCAACUUACCAGUCCUUAACGGAAGGACAAAAAGAAGAGCAGACGGCACACAGGCCGCAAUCAUGAUCAUUUUCAAGUAGAAUCUCAAACUGCCGUACAUCUUCGAAAACUUCGUUAGUCGUAAGGGAUCAAAGGAUGAUGUCCGCGCUGCGGAAAAUAGAUGAGAAGCGGCUAUUUCAACAACCACCGUGUAGGUGUAUUCUGUGCGGCUAAAGCAGUCACCUAAUGAAUUAUUGAGUACCAGGAAUGUUAGCGGUAAACAGGAUUGCGGCUAUGAAUGAUUCUCUAAUGUCUAUAUUAGAGAUGAAUUUGAUAAUUUAUCCUCAUAAUAUGCAAUCCGCUUUUAAGUGGAAAUCAUAAUUAACAAUUUCUGUUUGAUUAAAUAUGAAGAGCAGAUAAAUCGAUACGCUUAAAUCAAUAUUAGAAUUUCUUAACAUUUUUAUCAAAUAUUUUAGCACUGUAAAAGCGUCGUAGUAGAGAAAUAUUAGGUUGUUCCAAAAGUUUCUUUCGUUUUAUAAGAAAGUAAUAGAUGUACAACAUUUUUCGUUUUAUAUUAUUUUAUUGAAUUACGUGUGAUCCACCUUUUUCCAAUUUAAUGUAAAAUAAUAUAGAAUAACAUAAAACAAAAUAUGUUGUGCAUCUGUCAUUUCUUUAUAAAACGAAAGAAACUUGGGACAACCUAAUAGGAAUUUACUUUUAUUAUCCAUUAUAAAAAUGGAUUGUUAAUCCUCUAGGAGAUACGAACAAUAUAAUUGCAAUUAAUAAGGAAUAAGCUAGCAUAACUUAAACCAGCUUUUGCAGAAAGCUAUUAGCUAAAGAUGUUUAUUAAACAAUGACAACAUGAAUUUUCUUAAGUACCCCAUUUGGUACUUAAUCUACUUCGUAAGUACUGUGUGUCCUAGCCUUCAAAGGAUGCAAUUUUAACCAGAAUGUUUCACAUUACUUACCCGUAUUAUUUCCUUGUAAUAUAAUUUAUAUUUACAUUAUCUACGUUACGUUACAUUCUACGCGUUAAUGUAAUGUGAUUUUUAUUUCUAAUCGAAGUUAUUCAAAAUUUGUAGUAUCUCAAUAAAAAAUUAACAGCCUGCAAAAACUUCACAGAAGCAUUAGUAUCUUCGAAACUAUUGAAUUCAAAUGGCUAAUAUUCCUUAACAAUAUGCAUUCGACGACGUUUAUCGAGAGAAGUAUGUAGCGUAAUAGUUAAACUUUCAAUUCAUAUACAUAUAUCGUUUAUGAAAAAGUAGUCAUUCUGCUUUUGUGAUCUGUGACACACUAUAAAUUCUCAUAAGCUAACUAACGCCUAAUCUUCUGUAACGUAUUAAUAUAAUAUAGGUAUGUAUAUCUCGACUUUGAGCAACCAAUUGGUGCUAAAUAAGCUUUAGUACAUACUUCUUACACGUAACAAAAGACCAGUUAACAUCUCUGCUCUUAAAAGAAAAACGAAAGAAGCUCUGAAAAGCUGCAGAGUUCAGGUCGAAUAACACCAGCUCAGAUAAAUGACCCUCUAACUUACCUUUGUCCUCAUCGACGUCAGUGAUUUUAAAGCUAGUUAUAAAGUGCACUUCUCAGCCAGCGUCCACGGCAGUCAAUAUUAUUUAACGGGUCUUAACGCGAUGUAAAAAGGGAAAAAGGAGGAAAGAAGGAACAGGGAAGCAAAGAGAAGAAACGAAUUUUUCAUUUUCUCGAAACUGGAUCAAGUUUCAGGCUGCUCGCCAAAGAAUCUGUAGCUAACGAGACAAGAUUAGACAAACCACGCUUUAAAAUUCCCACAGAACUAUAAUAAUCCUCGAAAUCAAUACGAUUCGUCGAUCCAUCGCCUGAUUAAAAAAUGAGAUAGGAUGAAGCUCACUAGUCGGCCUUUGAACUUUCAAUAGCGCUUACGGCUCGUAUACUCUAGUUUGAAUGCUACAAUGUAAGCCAAGUUAGCUGUAACUAGCGUUCGCGUGAUUGUCGCUAUCUAUUAUUCACGCGUUACACGUUCACCAGACAAACGCGUCUACCGGUUGACAUUGUUUUCUGUCCUGAGUAUCAAAGCAAUUAUGUUGCUUCGUGUAAUCAAAUCUCGCCAAACUAACGAUAAGUUCUUGUUUGAUCUUACACAGUUAUUAAAACUAUACAAGUUAAACCAAUCUAGCCUAAACAAGUAAUGUCGUUAUAUAUUCUUUUUUAAAUCUAUAUAUUGUUUAAUAAAUCGUGGUUAGGAUAUAGUAGCUGACAAAAAUAUUCGGACAAAUAUAUUUGUAGAAACAUUUUAGGAGUAUAUUAUGCAUAGUGGCACUAUUUAAUACUGUACUGUGACUAUCAUGGUCGUGUUGGUAUUAUUCGAAACUAAUCUGAAAAUCUGUAUGGAAUUUGUAAGAUAUUUAGUACGAGUACUGUGCAUUACUGAUAUGUACACAACCGAGACGAGAUAACGAAGGUACUGCUCUCCAUCGUUCAUCGCUACGCGUUGCUAAUAGCAACGUAUAAUGCAUAUAUAUCUCGCAAAGACCAUAAAAGUACCCAAUGGAACCACGUUUAAUAUUUGAUAAUAAUGUCCCAUUACAGUUUCGUCAUUUUCAAUUAAUUAAACACGACCCUCUCUUUAAAAAUUAGAAGAUAAAAUACGUAAUACAAAUCUACUCGAAAUCUUUUAAACCUUACGGACGACCUUACGGACCUUACUUAUGGUCUUUAAAAGCAGCAGGGAUUAGCAGAAUAUUAACUGCGAAUUUUUCUUGGACCGCAGCAUGCAAUAUGAAAUAUGGUUAUUAAAAUGUACACUGAAAAUUUCAUAUCCAUAAGAUACUCGUGCUUGUAGGACCUUGAAAAUGAAUUCUUAACCCAAAUAGUCGACCGCGAUACUCGAGAAAUUUUGUGAAGCUGACGUCAAUACCAAUAUGUACCGUCGUUGUGCUAUUAUUUCGUGAUAAGCCGUAUUGAUUGCACUUCCAUUUCACGGAAUUAAUUUUUCCACACAAAAAGUGAUAACGAUAAUCGAAAAAAGAAAAAUAUACUACCACUUUUCGUAUCAGCAUACACAAGCGCACUCGAUUUUACACGAGUAUACAAUUUGCAAAUUCAACGGAACGAUCGGAUUUAAUUAUUUUUUCGAUAUUUCAGGCAUCAAGUUUUAUUUACACAUCGAACGUUGAAAUACGGCGAAAUACAAAAUGUACAAACCACUCUGGACAUUAAUUAACUUUAAACGUUAUUGAUUAAUUAAAGAAACCAACCAUUGUGUUGAUUUUUACAUUUUGAAAAAUUUUGUACAACCAUUUAUCUAUUUAUCUAUUUUAUUUGCACAUAAUCUUUAUAGACUGAUUUUGUAAAGAAUAAAAAAUUGUGAUUCUAUUUAAAAACGAUCGUGUCAGACUCAAGUGAUAAGCGAUAUAUAUUUCAGCGAUAUAUAUAUAUUCAGAUUUCACCAUCACAUAAACGGUGCUAUUGGAAACGUUUCACAAUAGACGUCUUAUAAGCGCCUGCGAUGUCCGUCAUAUGUAAAGCUAUACCACUGAAUCACGGCCGCCAUUUAGUGAUUAAGGUCGAUCACUUAGAGUUGUUAAUCCGACAUAAUGGCGAGCAAUACAUCGAAGACAUUAUUGGAAACACAGUUACAGUUUAAUUUCAUUGAGCUUAUUUGCAAAUAAAUGUGUACAAUAUA